GGAGCGUUCUGUAAGCCUGCGAAGGUGUGCUGUGAGGCAUGCUGGAGGUAUCAGAAGUGCGAAUGCUGACAUAAGUAACGAUAAAGCGGGUGAAAAGCCCGCUCGCCGGAAGACCAAGGGUUCCUGUCCAACGUUAAUCGGGGCAGGGUGAGUCGACCCCUAAGGCGAGGCCGAAAGGCGUAGUCGAUGGGAAACAGGUUAAUAUUCCUGUACUUGGUGUUACUGCGAAGGGGGGACGGAGAAGGCUAUGUUGGCCGGGCGACGGUUGUCCCGGUUUAAGCGUGUAGGCUGGUUUUCCAGGCAAAUCCGGAAAAUCAAGGCUGAGGCGUGAUGACGAGGCACUACGGUGCUGAAGCAACAAAUGCCCUGCUUCCAGGAAAAGCCUCUAAGCAUCAGGUAACAUCAAAUCGUACCCCAAACCGACACAGGUGGUCAGGUAGAGAAUACCAAGGCGCUUGAGAGAACUCGGGUGAAGGAACUAGGCAAAAUGGUGCCGUAACUUCGGGAGAAGGCACGC
rnacentral:rRNA from 3 species